rnacentral:rRNA from 1 species
CUCCUACGGGGGGCAGCAGUGGGGAAUAUUGCACAAUGGGGGAAACCCUGACGCAGCGACGCCGCGUGAAGGAAGAAGUAUUUCGGUAUGUAAACUUCUAUCAGCAGGGAAGAAAAUGACGGUACCUGACUAAGAAGCCCCGGCUAACUACGUGCCAGCAGCCGCGGUAAUACGUAGGGGGCAAGCGUUAUCCGGAUUUACUGGGCGUAAAGCGCUCGUAGGCGGUAUGUCAAGUCAAGGGUGAAAUCCCCGCGCUCAACGUGGGAACUGCCUUUGAAACUGGCAAACUGGAGUGUGUGAGAGGG